rnacentral:rRNA from 1 species
AGCCCCCUGAGUGGUAGGGAUGAUUAUUUGGCCUAAAGCGUCCGUAGCCGGCUUAGCAAGUCUUUCGUUAAAUCCGGUGACUUAAUCAUCGGUCUGCGAGAGAUACUACUAGACUUGAGGGCGGGAGAGGUCGACGGUAUUCCGGGGGUAGGGGUAAAAUCCUAUAAUCCUCGGAGGACCACCAGUGGCGAAGGCGGUCGACUAGAACGUGCCUGACGGUGAUGGACGAAAGCUGGGGGAGCAAACCGGAUUAGAUACCCGAGUAGUCC